UGUGCCGCGUGUCGUUGUAUUGUUUCCUGGGAUGUGAUCGCAAGGAGCAUAGGAUCAGCUUCUUAUUCCCCUUAUACAGAUAAUAAUUACUGAGUGGAAACUGAGGAAUCUGAGAGGAAGAGGCGAUCUGGGAGACGUCGUAGCGCUGGAGCAACCUUCAACGUAGUUUGUGUUUUCAACUCUAGUGCUACGCAUCGUAUCGCAAAUCAUCGUCUGUUACUCCGUGUCUGGUAGCUGGAUAUAUGGUUCUACUCUUUGCACGCGACGAGAUCACGCGGUGCGAGUUCAGAUAAAACGAACGAGGACGCCAAAAGAGGGAGGCAAGGGUCGAGCGUGGAAGAGAAUGAUGGUGGGCGAGCAUUGAGCAAAAUUACUGUCCUAGUUAGAAUCCAAGGCAAGGUCCGUUCGUCGAGAGGGAAUGAUGAAGGGUGGAAAGGGAGAUAGGCUACGACGGAGGCACUCAUGCGGUCCUUUACGUACGUGACCACAAGGCACCCCGGACCAGUCUAUAUAUCACACUUCCGAAGUAUAUUUGUCACGACUGCGCGAAGCCAUCUCGACACAUUUUUACAACGAAUUUUUGCGCUUGUCAAUUCGAUUUAAAACUCUCAUUAAUAUAGAGCUUAUCAUCAGAUUGUUCCGUAUAAGUUAGUGUAUUUACUGUGCGGAUAUAAUUAUAUCAAAUAACUUUUUAUAUAAGAUUAGAAAAAAUCUGAUCCUCUGGAAUUAUCGAACGAAAAAAAUGUAUAAUAUUAAUUGUUUUAAAAAUGUUGAUUGCGUUUUUCCUUAUUUUGUUUCAAAAUUUCUUAAAGAUAAGUGAAUAGCGCGUGUAUAUAAGAUAUAUUAAAGAUAAAUUUGAACAAGAGAGGUGACUACAAACACAGAUGGUCAUAAGUUAUGUGCACGUUAAGACUAAAAGGACUAAGAAUCUACUGAAUGAUGCAAAAUAUCGCUGCACGAUACAAGUCAUUUUAUGUGCAGUACGACUCUUACGUAAAAGACAUCAUAAUGUAAUGUUAAAACAUAUUAUGCAAAGUCAUCUCCAUUUAUUGCUAGUCAUCUCCAUACAUUCGAUGUAAAGGUAAUACUGCACGUGUCUUUAAAAACGCAUCUUGGCAGAUAGAAAAAUAACUUUGUUUUAAAAAGAAAAAAAAAAUUCAUAGAUUGCAAUUGAAGUUCGAAGAAUUUUUAUUAUAAGUCGUUGUUUUUAGAAUGUAUAUUUAGAAUUGCACUUGAUAAUAAUUAUUAGUUUAUCAGAAUUAUUUUAUGUAGAUUAAUUUAUAUUUUUAUGAGUUUUUAAUACUUAAUAGUAAGUUAGAAAUAUUAAAGGAACUGGAAUUUAUGGUAUUAAUUACAUAGAAUUGCGGAGCGAUGGACCGCAGUUUAAUUGUGUAAUAUGAUAGAAUAAUAAGUAUAAUGUGAUUCUCAUUGCAGAGUAAAUUAUAGUAUUCAUUACAGUAAAUUGCGCGUAUGUAAAUGCAUUUUCGAGUUAAUAAUGAUUUCACAAUUGUCAAAACCGCAGAUUUACAUUGUUGUGGAAAUAAUGUUAUAGGAGAGAGGGCAAAUAAAUAUGAAGAUUAGUUACUUUAUUUUUUAUAUUUAAGAUAAAUUAUUAAAAAUAAUAUGUAAAUACUUGCUGAGGUUUAUAUAUAAAAAGUAAAGAGUAGCAUUACUAACCUAACAGAUCAGUUAAUUAAUACAAUGCUAUUGUAAAUUACGGCAAUAAAUAUUGCUAUUUGCGUUUCAUUCCUCUUAUUUUCUCAUUUCAUCAUCUCAACACAUUACAAUAUUACACUUGUAAUCGUCAUGUGGCUUCAGGCAUCCGGAGUAAUUCUAACGCUGCGCACGCGGGUAAUUUAGGUCGUACGUGACUCGCGUUAUGGAACUUUGUUGCUCUUGGUAAAAAGAAGCCGCGUCGUAUUCAAAUUCUAGCACGUGCCUCCGUUACAACGUUUUCCAAACCGCAGCCCGGAGAAUCAAGACGCGCCGAUUCUCAAAGAAAUGCAUUUUUUUUUCCUCUAUCGUUUUAGAAGAUAAUAUUUCUAGUAGAUCAAUUCAAUCUUUCAAAACUGAGAGGAUGAAAUUUAAAUUGCGCUAAAAAAGAUGUGUCUUGCUGACUGCAAUUACAAACGUGACAUUUGAAAGAUACCUAAAAUUAAUUUUGUUAAUUACAUUUGGCAUUUGAGAAGUGAACGACGUUUCUCUUCCUAGAGAGUCGCAUUUCGUGUUUAUAUAUACAAUAUUAAUACUUCACCAAGCAAAAUUACGGCGCGAUGCUGCGUUUACCAGAAUUUAAUUUAACUGCAACAGCACAUCGCCGUAUUGUUUUUGUUACUAUGUAAAAACUAAACCGGUGUAGCCUUAUAAAAAUGGGAGGUCGUUUAAUCGUUCCUAAUACGCGAAGUACACACAACGGUGUGGAUAAGCGCGACGGAAGAUGCGGCAAAGGAAGCGGAGGAUUAGAAUAUCCCUCAUCUCUCGGUGAAUUUCUCAGGUGAGAGCGAAGAGGGCAGACGACUUCCCUAGAUACUCCUCGUUCCCGGCAUUACCCGGGGCUUCCGACGAAAUUAUUACGGGCUGAAGGGGAGUUUCGGUGGGUAUCCGCGCGGAGAGUAAUUAAAUUUCGGUGUGUGUAUGCGCGCGCUCGGGACAUCGCCUGGGUGGCGGCGCAAAGAGCGAGGGGGUGUCGAGGAUGGCAUUCGUAGCUGUCGCCGAAAACAGGUACAGCGGCGAGGCAUGGCUGCGACGGUAGCUCUGUUAUUACGGACUUAAAUAAUCUCGGAGCAGCAGAGGAGUGGCUGAGGCCGGAUCAGCUUAGUUAAUUGAAAGGAGGGAACGUCCUUAUUCCGGAGUGCGAUUGUGCAUUCGUUGUUCGUUUGUCGCGUGCUGAUUGCGUAUAAACGCAUGCGCGUGGGGAAAAUGUAGGGCUGACUUUCUUGAACUUAAACUGUUUCCUUAUCUCGCUAUUGUUCUGUAUUUUUGCCUCUCUCAUUUAUGCGGCACGCAUUACGGAGCUCUUCAGCUCCCAGCUCGCGAGUCUCUAAAAGGAGUCUCUCGCCUUUUUACCAUAAAGAAGGAAAUGUGCAAGAUGCAGGAAUUAUGCAUUCGCGUCUCUUGUGCGUUGCCGUGAAAGGAUGAAAAGUGAUAAAGGCGUAGUGAAUCAUGGACGCUUUGUCGGUAUGGCUGGGGAAGAACGGAAUCGGACGUUUCGUGCGAUGGUUUUACGAGGAGGCGCCUCUAAGAUGUAGGUCAGGACGAAAAGGGGGAAGAACUGACCUAGCAGAAAUGUGAGCACGGCGAGCGUGCCAGCGGUUUGUCGCGCGGAACGGAGGAAAGCAAGAAAACGAGUGAGAAAACGAAAGAGAGUCUAUUGUAUUCUGGGAAUACUCACCUGCAACAAAUAAAAUUAUGUAACAAGUGAAGAACUAGAUAUAUAGAAAAGCCACGAGUGCCAAGAACAUAAAUAUAUCAGGAAAAAUCUUUGUGUUAAAUAAUAUUUCAUUUAUUGCAAAAGAAGACUGUUUAUAGAUGGAAAAUGUAUUAAUUAUUAAGAAAAUAUAUUAAUUUAAAAUUUAUCUUUUAUACGCUUUAAAUUAAUAUAUUUUUGACUUGAAAUAAUCAUAAUACAAAUAAACUAAAGGAAGUAUAAUCUAGUUUCUCGAAAAAAAAAAA